ACAUGCCUGAAAGAGCUUCCUUUUACUAAUAAGGUGUAAGUAUUAUUGUAACAACUGUCUUCUGGUAGAUGUGUGGAGUUUCUGUAGCAUGAGAAGAGAGGACUCGUGCUUGGUAAACCCUGUUGGUACUGAUUUCAUAAAGACCCUCUCAAAAUCACCCUCAUUCCAGGAGUCAUUUCUCUCAAAUAGUAUCUCUAUAUUUUUUUUAAGCUUUGCUCUCUUUAUUGCUCUAAAUUGGUUAGUCAUUUCACCAGUGACCUUGGUUUUUUUUAAAAAUUAGUCAAUAUAAUAGAAAGUUUUUCAAGAUAAAUAGACAUGUUUUUCUCUCAUGGUUCCCAGCCUCUGUGAAAUAGACUCAGAUUUCACAGUGCAGUUUUCAAAUAUCAUUAAUCACUAGAAUGAUAUUAGCAUCUCCUAAUUCAUUUUCUUAAGACUAUAUUUGUAGGACCACACUAAAAGUAAGAUCACCCUAUAAUUACCUCAGACACUUAGCCCCUUGAACAACAUCCUAGGAAGACCUAUAUGUUACUGAAUCCUCUGUAGCAAGAGCUCUUUCGGUGAGAUCUCAUAAUAUGGAUUUAUGGCUUGGAGCUAAUUAUUUGGCUUUUUAAAUGUAUGCUACUUAUUAGUACUCUCCUUCACUUCAAGAGGAUUUCAAGUGGUUAUUA
rnacentral:lncRNA from 1 species